GGCUGGUCCAAAGGUGGUGGUGUUAUCUGAAAUGACUGUUCACUCAGUUACAGAUCAAACUCCUUACUCUACUUUUCCUUUCCUUCUCACUACUGGUCUUAA
ensembl:misc_RNA Y_RNA Y RNA